rnacentral:rRNA from 1 species
AUUGAACGCUGGCGGCAUGCCUUACACAUGCAAGUCGAACGGCAGCACGAGAGCAAUCCUGGUGGCGAGUGGCGAACGGGUGNGUAAUAUAUCGGAACGUGCCCCGGUCGUGGGGGAUAACGUAGCGAAAGCUACGCUAAUACCGCAUACGAUCUACGGAUGAAAGCGGGGGAUCGCAAGACCUCGCGCGAUUGGAGCGGCCGAUAUCAGAUUAGGUAGUUGGUGAGGUAAAGGNUCACCAAGCCGACGA